CAGAGGUUGCUGAGGUUCCCGGGAUCUGAGGACAGGAGCCUGUGCUUCUUCCACAGGACAAGACGUCGCGCCAUCGUGACCUCCCCGUCCUACACACCCGGGUCGCAGCAUUGGAAACACUUCUCUGCAGCAGCAGCACCACAGUGGACAUGGUUAUAGGGUGGCUUGGUGAGAGCAGGGCUGCGCUGCCCCUUCUGUCACCCCCACCCUGUGCCUGGAACAGCACUUGGGCACAGAGCCAGGACCCAUCAGAUUCAGCGACCUGACCCCAUCUUCCUGGGAAAACACUUGUUCGUUCCUGCAGGAAUGGCAGCUGGUGCCCUUCCAGUCAGAAUCAGCUUCUCUUUUCCUGUUGAAGCCACCAUCACUGCUCCCUUGUCCUAAGGCAGCUCAACUAAGGAGGUGCCCACUCGGCCUUCCCUGCUCCAGCCUCAAGAUGCCUUCCUCAGGCUCCACAUUUUCCCUCCAUACUUUGCACCUGUUCAGGGCACAGCCCUCAUCAUGCCCCUCAGGACUCCACUUGAGGCCUCUUACUUCAGGGAGAGACCAAGAAGAGGGGCCUGAAGCACUUCCUGCAGAAAGGAGACCCAGCCCCUGCCAGAGGCCUGUGUGGCUUCUUAUCUCCUUAGACCGGAGCAGUUGGAGGCUGGGUCAGAAAGGCAGAAAGGAACAGAAACCAACAAUGGGCAGGAAUGUCCUCCAGCUACAACCUAUAGGCGCAGCUACAGCCAACAGGUGCAAUUUUAGGGACAUUUAAAAGGGUCAUAAUUCCAUAAACAAAAUGCGGUGUAUGCACACAGCCUUUAAAAGGAAGGAAAUUAUAAGAGAUGCAUGAUAACAUGGAUGAACCCAAAAGACACUCUGCUAAGUGAAAUAAACCAGUCACCAAAGACAAAUACUAUAUGAGUCCACUUCUAGGAGGGACACAGAACAGUGAAAAUCAUAGAGACAGGAAGUAGAAUGAUUAUCAGGGGAUGGGGGAAAGGAGAGUUAGAGAGGAGAAGUAGAAUGAUUGUCAGGGGAUGGGGGAAAAGAGAGUUAGAGAUGGGAAGUAGAAUGAUUGUCAGGGGAUGGGAGGAAAGGAGAGUUAGUGUUUCAUGGGCACAGAGUUUCUGCUUGGGAAGGUGAAAAGCAUUCUGGAGAUGGAUGGUGGUGAUGGUUGCGCAUCAAUGUGAAUGUACAUAAAGCCACUGAAUGUACACUUGGAAACGGUUAGAAUGUAAAUUUUUUUUUUUUUUUUUUUUUUUAGAUGGAGUUUCACUGUCUGUCGGCCAGGCUGGAGUGCAGUGGCGCAAUCUCGGCUCACCACAACCUCCACCUCCCAGGUUCAAGCAAUUCUCAUGCCUCAGCCUCCCAAGUAGUUGGGAUUACAGGCACCCGCUAGCAUGCCCAGCUAAUUUUGGUAUUUUUAGUAGAGACGGGGUUUCACCAUGUUGGCCAGGCUGGUCUAGAACUCCUGACCUCAGGUGAUCCACCCGUCUCGGCCUCCCAAAGUGCUGGGAUUACAGGCGUGAGCCACCACUCCUGGCCUAGGAUGCAAAUUUUAGGUUAUGUGUAUUUUACCACAAAUGAAAAAAGAAAAAGAUUCACAAUUCCAGUCAGGAGAAAGGCACUGUCUUCUAUACUGCUCAGAGGAGAUGUCAGCAUGACAUCUUGGGAGACCUAUUGUCAGUGUGCAUUAAAAUUUAAAUAUGCUAGGCCGGGCGCGGUGGCUCACGCCUGUAAUCGCAGCACUUUGGGAGGCCUAGGCGGGAGGAUCACCUGAGGCCAGGAGUUUGAGACCAGCCUGGCCAACAUUGUGAAACCCCGUCUCUACUAAAAAUACAAAAAUUAGCUGGAAAUGCUGGCAGGUGCCUGUAAUCCCAGCUACUCGGGAGGCUGAGGUGGGAGGAUCACUUGAACCCCGGGAGGUUGAGGCUGCAGUGAGCAGAGAUCGUGCCACUGCACUCCAGCCUGGGCAACAGAGCAAGACUAGCACUAGAGCUACCAGAGGAGUCCCAAUACCUGCUUGGACAACGUGGAUAAAGCUGUGACAUCUGGAACAGCUGUAGCCUUUUCACUGCUAUGGAGGAAGACUUGGAGGCUCCAGACAGCAGAGGCUGAGCACAGGGAGAAACCAUAUCUUGGUGACAUGAUUUGCACCCGUGGAUAAACUUUGCCAGCAACUACUUGAUCAACUUCCAGAUUUUUCAAUUACAUGAACCAAAAAUCCUGCCCCUGCUUUUCUCUUUGAGACAGAGUCUCACUAUGUUGCCCAGGCUGACCUCGAACUCCUGGGCUCAAGCGAAAAUUCCCUUUCCUAUAGGUCAGUUUGCAUCGAGUUCUCUCUGCUUUGUAACAUAAAAAUGUCGGACAACACUUUCUUUUGCAAUCAGAAUUUAACUAAUUAACACAAAAACAAUAAAUACAUUCCCCAAGGUCAAAUCUUCUCUUACCAGCUUUAAGAAAGCCUGCAAGUUAUUUUUAGUUCUUCCUUUGCCCUCAGAUGUUUCUGGCUUUUGAAUAAAAUAUGCAAGUGCCGUGUUGAGCGAAUUCUCACAUUAAGCUUGUCCUGAAUGGGGUUAAGAUAUCAGGACUACUUGAAAUUAGAAAAUAUUUUUGAGCCCCCACUAUGGACAAAGCCCCAUCAAGGGUGUGAUAAGAGCCGAAGAUAUCAUUAGAUGCAAUUUCUGCUCCAGGGGUCAAUGAGGAACAAACCUGCCUUCAUGAACAGCACCCACUUAGGAGGGAAGCUCCUGGAAGCCAAGCCCACUAUCUGGCUGGUUUACUGCUGUAUCUCCAGUGCCUAGAUUAGUGCCUGGCACAUUGCCAAGUAUAUAUUUUUAUAAUUGAAUAAAAAUAAUAGAAGU
rnacentral:lncRNA from 10 species